rnacentral:miRNA from 1 species
CAUCUGCAGUGUGACCACAUGA